UUGAACGCUGGCGGUAUGCUUAACACAUGCAAGUCGAACGGAAACGAUACUAGCUUGCUAGUAGGCGUCGAGUGGCGGACGGGUGAGUAACGCGUAGGAAUCUGCCUGAUAGUGGGGGAUAGCCCGAAGAAAUUCGGAUUAAUACCGCAUAAUCUAUUCGUAGUAAAGUGGGGGACUUUCGAGCCUCACGCUAUCAGAUGAGCCUGCGUAAGAUUAGCUUGUUGGUAGGGUAAAAGCCUACCAAGGCGACGAUCUUUAGCUGGUCUGAGAGGAUGAUCAGCCACAUCGGGACUGAGACACGGCCCGAACUCCUACGGGAGGCAGCAGUGGGGAAUAUUGGACAAUGGGGGCAACCCUGAUCCAGCAAUACCGCGUGUGUGAAGAAGGCCUGAGGGUUGUAAAGCACUUUCAAUUGUGAAGAAAAGUUAGCGGUUAAUAACCGUUAGCCUUGACGUUAACUUUAGAAGAAGCACCGGCUAACUCCGUGCCAGCAGCCGCGGUAAUACGGAGGGUGCAAGCGUUAAUCGGAAUUACUGGGCGUAAAGCGUGCGUAGGCGGUUUAUUAAGUCAGAUGUGAAAGCCCCGGGCUUAACCUGGGAACUGCAUUUGAAACUGGUCAACUAGAGUAUGGUAGAGGAAAGUGGAAUUUCUGGUGUAGCGGUGAAAUGCGUAGAUAUCAGAAGGAACAUCAAUGGCGAAAGGCAGCUUUCUGGACCAAUACUGACGCUGAGGUACGAAAGCGUGGGUAGCAAACAGGAUUAGAUACCCUGGUAGUCCACGCCGUAAACGAUGAUAACUAGCCGUUGGGGGGAUUUACCCUUUAGUGGCGAAGCUAACGCGUUAAGUUAUCCGCCUGGGGAGUACGGCCGCAAGGUUAAAACUCAAAGGAAUUGACGGGGACCCGCACAAGCGGUGGAGCAUGUGGUUUAAUUCGAUGCAACGCGAAGAACCUUACCUGGUCUUGACAUCCUGCGAACUUUCUAGAAAUAGAUUGGUGCCUUCGGGAACGCAGUGACAGGUGCUGCAUGGCUGUCGUCAGCUCGUGUCGUGAGAUGUUGGGUUAAGUCCCGUAACGAGCGCAACCCCUAUCCUUAUUUGCCAGCACAUCAUGGUGGGAACUAUAAGGAGACUGCCGGUGAUAAACCGGAGGAAGGCGGGGACGACGUCAAGUCAUCAUGGCCCUUACGACCAGGGCUACACACGUGCUACAAUGGGAAGGACAAAGAGCCGCGAAGCCGCGAGGUGUAGCUAAUCUCAUAAACCUUUUCGUAGUCCGGAUUGGAGUCUGCAACUCGACUCCAUGAAGUCGGAAUCGCUAGUAAUCGUAGAUCAGAAUGCUACGGUGAAUACGUUCCCGGGUCUUGUACACACCGCCC
rnacentral:rRNA from 1 species